UGGGGAAUCUUCCGCAAUGGACGAAAGUCUGACGGAGCAACGCCGCGUGAGUGAAGAAGGUUUUCGGAUCGUAAAACUCUGUCUUUUGGGGCGAACGUGAGUAUGGUGAACAAUCAUAGUCAGUGACGGUACCAAAGGAGGAAGCCACGGCUAACUACGUGCCAGCGGCCGCGGUAAUACGUAGGUGGCAAGCGUUGUCCGGAAUUAUUGGGCGUAAAGAGCGCGUAGGCGGGAUAGUCAGUCUGUUGUAAAAGUGCGGGGCUCAACCCCGUGAUGGCAAUGGAAACAGCUAUUCUUGAGUGCAGGAGAGGAAAGUGGAAUUCCCAGUGUAGCGGUGAAAUGCGUAGAUAUUGGGAGGAACACCAGUGGCGAAGGCGACUUUCUGGACUGUGUCUGACGCUGAGGCGCGAAAGCCAGGGGAGCGAACGGGAUUAGAUACCCUGGUAGUCCUGGCCGUAAACGAUGGGUACUAGGUGUGGGAGGUAUCGACCCCCUUCCGUGCCGGAGUUAACGCAAUAAGUACCCCGCCUGGGGAGUACGGUCGCAAGACUGAAACUUAAAGGAAUUGACGGGGUCAUAGCUGUUUCCUG
rnacentral:rRNA from 1 species